rnacentral:rRNA from 1 species
GCGUGCUUAUACAUGCAAGUUGUGCGAGAAAGUUCCUUCGGGAUGCGAGUACAGCGGCGAACGGGUGAGUACACGUAAGCACCUGCCCUAAAUCCGGGAUAGGCUGCCAACGCGGGGCUAAUACCGGAUGUGGUUGAAAGGUCGCAUGAUUUUUCAAUUAAAGGUGACCUCUUCUUGAAAGUUACUGUUUAGGGAUGGGCUUGCGGACCAUUAGCUUGUUGGUGAGGUAACGGCUCACCAAGGCUGCGAUGGUUAGCCGACCUGAGAGGGUGAUCGGCCACAUUGGGACUGAGAUACGGCCCAGACUCCUACGGGAGGCAGCAGUAGGGAAUUUUGCGCAAUGGACGAAAGUCUGACGCAGCAACGCCGCGUGAGGGAUGAAGGCCUUCGGGUUGUAAACCUCUGUUGAGUGAGAAGAAAAGCAUGCGGGAUAAUACUCCGCGUGUCUGACGGUAUCACUCGAGGAAGCCCCGGCUAACUACGUGCCAGCAGCCGCGGUAAUACGUAGGGGGCAAGCGUUGUUCGGAAUUACUGGGUGUAAAGGGAGCGUAGGUGGAAAGGUAAGUUAGGAGUGAAAGAUACGGGCUUAACCCGUAGUCCGCUUUUAAUACUGUCUUUCUUGAGUAUGGGAGAGGAUGACGGAAUUCCUGGUGUAGCGGUGGAAUGCGUAGAUAUCAGGAAGAACACCGGUUGCGAAGGCGGUCAUCUGGCCCAAUACUGACGCUGAGGCUCGAAAGCUGGGGGAGCGAACAGGAUUAGAUACCCUGGUAGUCCCAGCCGUAAACGAUGGACACUAGAUGCUGGAAGAGUCAAUCCUUUCAGUGUCGUAGCUAACGCGUUAAGUGUCCCGCCUGGGGAGUACGCUCGCAAGGGUGAAACUCAAAGGAAUUGACGGGGGCCCGCACAAGCGGUGGAGCAUGUGCUU